AACGAACGCUGGCGGCGUGGAUUAGGCAUGCAAGUCGAACGAGAAAGGUCUCUUCGGAGACCGAGUAGAGUGGCAAACGGGUGAGUAACGCGUGGGGAACCUGCCUUUCGGAUGGGAAUAACACUUCUAACGAGGUGCUAAUACCGAAUACGAUCGGUUUGUCGCAUGGCAGACCGAUGAAAGGCGACCUCUGAUUCAAGUUGUCGUCGAAAGAUGGCCCCCGCGUCCCAUUAGCUAGUUGGUGAGGUAAUGGCCCACCAAGGCUCCGAUGGGUAGCCGGCCUUAGCGGGUGUCCGGCCACACUGGGACUGAGAUACGGCCCAGACUCCUACGGGAGGCUG
rnacentral:rRNA from 1 species